rnacentral:rRNA from 2 species
UACGUAUGUCGCGAGCGUUAUCCGGAAUUAUUGGGCAUAAAGGGCAUCUAGGCGGCCGGAUAAGUCUGGGGUGAAAACUUGCGGCUCAACCGCAAGCCUGCCCUGGAAACUAUGCGGCUAGAGUACUGGAGAGGUGGACGGAACUGCACGAGUAGAGGUGAAAUUCGUAGAUAUGUGCAGGAAUGCCGAUGAUGAAGAUAGUUCACUGGACGGUAACUGACGCUGAAGUGCGAAAGCUAGGGGAGCAAACAGG